UUCUACAUUGUGAUUUUUUAAAAGAGAACAACACAUGACAGAUUUCAAACGUCGCUUUACAACAAACCAUCUGGUUCUGACUACUGGACAGGAUGGUAUGGAUGUUUUGUGUCAGGAGGCAGGCGGGCCAGUUCUGACCCAUUUCUCCAGUACUGUGCUGCUGAGUCAGAGUCAGUAGUGCAUGAUGGGAGAACUGGUAUGAAGGAAGAGUCACAGACAAAGACACACAGGCGCACACACACCGAGGCGAGCAGAGGCGGUAUGUUCCGCUCCAGUGCGCUGCAUCUGUUCAGUGCUAAAUAUAACCAGAGGAACCCAGGCCUACCGCUCCCUCUGCUCGUGCUACUGGCUGAGUGGGCCAAAGGAUGGAGGAGGAAAAAAAGGAGCCAGGAAGGAGGCAGAGCUUCCAGCAGGCUGAAUCCUCCCUGUCGCUGAUAGAAAGCAUCAAGCAUCAAGCAUCGGAGCCAAUGACCACGGGCAAUGAGACGGAGAUGAGAUACACGUCCCCCAUCCUUCCUCCCUCCCUCUCUCCCUCCCUCGGCUGCAGCGGCAGACUGAAACACACCACAGGGACGAGUGUGUCAUCACUGGCCGGCUAAUAUGAUGAAACUCAACGCAUCACAAUAAAACACAAGACAAGAAAUUACCACACUAGGCUUGAAUUAUAGUUUAUAUACAUUUGGAUGAAGGAGUGGAAAGGCAGAAGUCUUUCCACCGGGUGUAAUAACCACUAAUUUGUACCUUGAGGGUUGUAAUUGAAGGGGAUUCUUGCGCAGUUGAUGUGGCACACCAGCUCUGUUUUAGCAAACAAAUCAGUGAGGUUGACUUGAAGGAGACACAUCUAGUGACCUAUAUAAACCUAAUAUUAAUUAACAUAUAUGGAACACCCACUUUUACAAAAAUAGCCAUUCUAACUGAGGGGCUAUCCAUCAGAUGUACGGGGCUGUGUGUAGGGAGAUAGCUGACAGACAGGAGGCCCCACAGGGAGAUUCAUUAAAUUAAUCUGUCAUGUGAAUUUCCUCAGUUAGUUACCCAAUGGAUGCUGCUACCAGAAUUUUGUGCUGAGAGGAAGCACUAUUUCAGAAAUGCCAGCUGGGCAUGUUUGUCAGAGGAUUUAGCUAAUAUGCAAAAAAAAAAAAAAAAAAAAAUGUUCCUAGCCAGAAAGUGAGGCAACCUUGCGAAGAGUUACAGUUUUGAAAGUGGAGUUUAAGGAAACAGCUUUCAAACAGAAGGAAGAAAUACGAGAAUGAUUCACUUGCAGCGCGGCACACGUCUCAGUCUCUAUCAAAACUGUCUGAGAGCAAAGAUAACACGCAGCAGACUGACAGCUGGGGAUGAACAGCUGAGAUAAGAUUAAAGAGAGGCCUUGGAUCUCGGCAGCGAGCCUUGUUGUUAUGAUGCUGCAAACCUUCAUAGGUACAUAUCAGGCCUGCCUCUUCAAACCUAAUCAUCAACAACAACAACAACAACAUGUACUGUAGCAGCACACUGCAUACAAAAGUUCUGUUUCCUUUUCUAAAAAAAAGAAGACAGAGAGAGAGUUAAUCUGUUGAGAAAUGUAAAGCACACUGUAAAAGUCAACCAGUCAAUCAAACAGUAAACCAGCAUGUGACUGGCAAAAACUGACGUUGUUAUGAUGCGAACGACAUCUUCCUAAACUCAGGGUGCUGCUUCUGGCUUUUGGUGAUGCAACGUGAUUGAUUCGUCGGGUAAAUCCACCAAGUAUCCCCCAUGGGUGACGAUAUAACAGAUGGUCUAGUGAACAGAAUAGUCUGUCCCUUUCUGUGAUGCUGUGUGGAAACAGAAAACAUGCAAAAAAAUGGACGGACUUCAACCUAAAAAGAUAAUGAUGUAUCUGUAAUCCAAUCAGAGGCACAAUGGCAAAGAUGAAAUACAAAAAGAUUAUGGCUUUUUCUCUGUUCACCGUGCCAUCAAAAAGACAUUUCGAUCACUUCAUCAUGCUCAGUGAAGAGACAAAACUAGAGCUUUCAUUAAACCGCUGACACGGCCCAUCUCAGCCUCAAACGGUCCAACUGCUGUGUUGCAAGUGAACAUGUGUGAGGUUAGACUCCGGUCACACACUGUGCAUCCUUCAUAAACCACUCACUGUUAAACCAUCAAACAACUGACCUUCAAACUGUAAGAAAUCACAGAUUUUCCUUCACAGCUGGAUAGCAUCAAUCACAGAGAUGAUUACGAGAAAUUUGAGAUAGAAGCAUGAAAGGAGAUAACCAACAGGUGGAGGAGAGAGAGAACGAGGGGAAGAAGUGGGUGCGAGGCCUUUUAAAGAAAAGGAGAGAUGGAGAGUGCAGUCGGUGCCGAUGACAAGCAGUGAUGAUUC